rnacentral:rRNA from 1 species
GACGAACGCUGGCGGCGUGCUUAACACAUGCAAGUCGAACGGAAAGGCCCUGCUUUUGUGGGGUGCUCGAGUGGCGAACGGGUGAGUAACACGUGAGUAACCUGCCCUUGACUUUGGGAUAACUUCAGGAAACUGGGGCUAAUACCGGAUAGGAGCUCCUGCUGCAUGGGGGGGGUUGGAAAGUUUCGGCGGUUGGGGAUGGACUCGCGGCUUAUCAGCUUGUUGGUGGGGUAGUGGCUGACCAAGGCUUUGACGGGUAGCCGGCCUGAGAGGGUGACCAGCCUCCUUGGGACUGAGAUACGGCCCAGACGCCUACGGGAGGCAGCAGUGGGGAAUAUUGCACAAUGGGCGGAAGCCUGAGGCAGCAACGCCGCGUGCGGGAUGACGGCCUUCGGGGUGUAAACCGCUUUCGCCUGUGACGAAGCGUGAGUGACGGUAAUGGGUAAAGAAGCACCGGCUAACUACGUG